rnacentral:tRNA from 2 species
GGCGCUGUAGCUCAAUUGGUAGAGCAAUCGACUCAUAAUCGACAGGUUCAGGGUUCGAGUCCCUGUGGUGCCA